rfam:Dipodomys ordii contig_61362, whole genome shotgun sequence.
GGGAAGGUGGCUCAGUGGUAGAGCUCUUGCCUUGCAUGCAUGUAGUCCUGGGUUCGAUUCCUCCACACCA